GAUGAACGCUGGCGGCGUGCUUAACACAUGCAAGUCGAACGAUGAAGCCCAGCUUGCUGGGUGGAUUAGUGGCGAACGGGUGAGUAACACGUGAGCAACCUGCCCCUGACUCUGGGAUAAGCGCUGGAAACGGCGUCUAAUACUGGAUAUGUCCCGUCACCGCAUGGUGUGCGGGUGGAAAGAUUUUUCGGUUGGGGAUGGGCUCGCGGCCUAUCAGCUUGUUGGUGAGGUAAUGGCUCACCAAGGCGUCGACGGGUAGCCGGCCUGAGAGGAUGACCGGCCACACUGGGACUGAGACACGGCCCAGACUCCUACGGGAGGCAGCAGUGGGGAAUAUUGCACAAUGGGCGGAAGCCUGAUGCAGCAACGCCGCGUGAGGGAUGACGGCCUUCGGGUUGUAAACCUCUUUUAGCAGGGAAGAAGCGAAAGUGACGGUACCUGCAGAAAAAGCACCGGCUAACUACGUG
rnacentral:rRNA from 1 species